rnacentral:miRNA from 1 species
AUAUCUAUAUAGAUAUACAUAUGUAUAUCUAUAUAGAUAUAUACAUACACACACACACAUACACACACAAUGGAAUACUAAGCAGCCAACAA